rnacentral:rRNA from 1 species
AUGAACGCUGGCGGCGUGCCUAACACAUGCAAGUCGAGCGGAGGUGUGGAGUAGUUUACUAUGAAGCAUCUUAGCGGCGGACGGGUGAGUAACGCGUGGGCAACCUGCCCUAUGCAGGGGGAUAACAUAUCGAAAGGUGUGCUAAAACCGCAUAAAGCUUAAGAAUCGCAUGACUUUUAAGCCAAAGAUUUAUCGGCAUAGGAUGGGCCCGCGUCUGAUUAGCUAGUUGGUGAGGUAACGGCUCACCAAGGCGACGAUCAGUAGCCG